GAGUCAAACAGAAAGCUGAGUGAAAAGUGGUGCUGGAUGAAAACUUCUGCUAAGUGAUGCCCAUACACAAAUACAUUAUAAAUGUAUAAGGCAAGAAGCCUUUUAGGGAAGUUGAACAGUCAUACAAGAAACCAGACAUUUUUGUGGGUUACAAGGUUACAAGUUGAGCCCUGGAUACCAUUUUUUGACAUUUGCUUCUCGGCCAAGAUAGCAAAGACCCUGAAUUUAUCCUAGCUUCUGAACAAGAAAGGUAUAAGGCAGUCUGACAGCCUACAUUUCUCUCUGAUGCCACCACAACAGAGAACAACAGCCCCAGAAAUGGGAUCUUGACACUGCUGCAUGGAGGGAGAGUUUUAAUUUUUGGAACUGGAGAUGUCUAAUAGACCUUCUUCUGGAUGAAACAUGACAGGGGAAGCUGUUUUCUGUGGG